rnacentral:rRNA from 1 species
AGAUUGAACGCUGGCGGCAUGCCUUACACAUGCAAGUCGAACGGCAGCACGGGAGCAAUCCUGGUGGCGAGUGGGCGAACGGGUGACGUAAUACAUCGGAACGUGCCCAAUCGUGGGGGAUAACGCAGCGAAAGCCGUGCUAAUACCGCAUAAGAUCUACGGAUCGAAAGCAGGGGAUCGCAAGACCUUGCGCGAAUGGAGCGGCCGAUGGCAGAUUAGGUAGUUGGUGAGGUAAAGGCUCACCAGGCCUUCGAGUCUGUAGCUGGUCUGAGAGGACGACCAGCCACACGUGGGACUGAGACACGGCCAGACUCUACGGGAGGCAGCAGUGGGGAAUUUUGGGACAAGUGGGACGAAGC